UACGUAGGGUGCGAGCGUUAAUCGGAAUUACUGGGCGUAAAGCGUGCGCAGGCGGUUCGUUAAGUUCGUUGUGAAAGCCCCGGGCUCAACCUGGGAACUGCAAUGGAAACUGGCGGGCUUGAGUGUGGCAGAGGGGGGUGGAAUUCCGGGUGUAGCGGUGGAAUGCGUAGAGAUCCGGAAGAACACCGGGGGCGAAGGCGGCUCGCUGGGCAUGGUCCGACGCUGAGGCGCGAAAGCGUGGGGAGCGAACAGG
rnacentral:rRNA from 1 species